UACAGAGGUCCCGAGCGUUGUUCGGAUUCAUUGGGCGUAAAGGGUGCGUAGGCGGCGGGGCAAGUCUGAUGUGAAAUCCUGGGGCUCAACCUCAGAACUGCAUUGGAUACUGCCUUGCUAGAGUACUGGAGAGGGAACUGGAAUUUACGGUGUAGCAGUGAAAUGCGUAGAGAUCGUAAGGAAGGCCGGUGGCGAAGGCGGGUCUCUGGACAGUUCCUGACACUGAGGCACGAAGGCCAGGGGAGCAAACGGG
rnacentral:rRNA from 1 species